GGAUGGCUCUGCAGUGCCUUCCAAGCACCGAGCCAUGCCUGCUCUUGCUGGGAGUGCACUUCUGUUCCGGAUGCCUCCUGCGCUUUCAGGCGCUUAAUGGAAAUGGCAGUGCUGCUCUUGGAGGGCAGGCCGGAAAGUUUCUGCGGACUUGUCCAUGUGCCAGAGAGACAUUUUUGUCGGGCGGAAGCUGAUUUCCAUUAUGUCUUUGUCAGACUUUGCAGCCAUAGAGGGGAAUUUGGGGCUUUCUGUGUCAGAGCACUGUCUGAAUGUUACCUGAGACCUUUACCUCCCCAUAACGCUGCGGUUCUGUGCUGUGCAUGAGAAGCAUCUGUCCGGGUGUUAAGCAGGGGUAGCUCAGUACACGCACUGGAAUCCUUGCACCUCUUCAUGUUUUGCUGGCUCUUUGAGGUACUGGAUUCUCAGGAGCACUGUGGUUUGGCCCCUCUGGUAAUAUGUUUGUCCUUUGUUAUGAUACAUCUGUCUUUAGAACAAAGUUUCCUCUUUAUCUCAGGUUUAAAGUGAAAAACUCGAGGUUUGGAAGCGCAUUAGUUUCCUGUUCCAGAUGUAUCUGCAUUCAGAUCCGGGAACAGAGGUUUGGCUGUAAUAAAAUAAGCAAAAACACACCCACAACCACACUAAAUUGGUCUUGCAGGUAAAAAGGAAAAACAUACCCAGAAAACAAUAUUUGCAAAGCCCAUCAAGCAGUUUUCAGGGCAGCUCUGCUUAUUUCAGAAUAACUCCUACUAAUGGGCAGCUUUUAAAAAGAACCAAACCCAAACCAACCGCAGACCCCCCCAGUGAACACCACGGACUCAGCAUGGUGUAGCUCCUGCCCAAACAUCUGUUCCCCCGGUGCUGAGAGGUCCCCUUGCGAUGAGUUCAUGUGAUUCUCUACACAGAGGUUAAGUAAAGUUGAGAGGCUCCCAUCAGUGGCUUCGUGCCAUGGAGGCCAGAUCAGCAAAAAGAGUUUCACUGCAGAUAUGUCCGGUUCUAAUUCAGAGAAGAACUCAGGAGGGAAAAAGACAUCACCUAAGCUGGGCUUUAGUGCUGUGCUGUUUGGUAUUGGAGGAAGAUGCUUCAGUAUGGAAAGUGGAACUGGGGCAAAGUGGUGCUCCCGGGCGGUAGGAGCUGGCUGGGCAGUGUGCUCUGCGUCCUCCUCCUUCUGCUGACAGCAUUGCUGUCUGCCUGCUGGUGGGACUUCCAGCAAGGAGCUCAGUUUGGUGAACACAGAAUGCACAGCUCAUCGUAACUUUGGCCAAGAGGAGCUGCACUGUCUCCUUGGUUCAGGAAAUAUCCACUGUGUACAAUCCUACAGCAGUGAUUCAGUAUUAGGAGCUGUGGAUGCAGAAUUAUAUGGCUGUGUGUAACUCUGUCUGUGGUGUUCCUCUGACAAGCAGACCCAACAACCUCCUGUCCCAAUCCCAAAGCACAAAUAAUGUCUACUGUGUAAAACAGGUCAUGUUUGUACCAUCCUUCUUGGCACGUGUGGUGAGGGUGGGUCACUGGGGUUUGUCCCCACCCUGCCCAGCACAGCCCACAGGGCACCUCCAUCCCAAACAGAGCCACCUGGGAUGUACCUCAGUGUCUGAAGAGGCAGUUAGAAUUCAGGGGUUAGAGUGCAUAAGAUUUAAACCUGUCAUGUCUUUUUAUUUGCCUGCAUUGGCUCAUCUUUAGUUUUUUUCCGCCGGUUAAUUUUUGGAUUUGAGGCUGCUUAUUUUCAUUUGCUUUGUCCUAUCCAUUAAGGAUGGAAGCCACGUUAAGACCUAGAUAAAGGUUUUAUUGCAGCCAUUGAGCCCUGCUUUUGGGAUGUCUCCUCCUCCCGUAUUUCAAAAUGAAGCUAUGGAAGGGAGCACCAGGGUUUGUUUAAACGCAGAAGAUGCAGAACUGAAACCGAAGCCUCAGUGCAUGGAGUUACUAACACAGUCCAUCUUGUACCUAGCAGUGACUUCAAAGUGUCUGCAUGUCCUUUUCAGAAGCAGUGCGCUCUCUGCUGAAGCCCAGUCCUUGCAGUGUGACUAAUUUUGGCUGUGCAGUUGCCUUUGGCUAAUCCAAGCAAAUUGGGCUGUGUUGUAUUUUGACAUGGGGAGAGGCCAAAUUAAGGACCCCAGGUCAGAGGCAGGGACAGGAGCUGGGGGUGAACCUCUCAGCAGGCAGCUCCCUCCCACCUGCUCCCUGGGAUUGGGUCUUUUCUACACUGCCACCCAUUGGAGCUGCCCUGGCCCCGAGCGCUGCUGCGCCCUGCAUGGCCCUGUGGGGAUGGGGGUGCGGCUGCUGCGUGCUGUGCUGUACGCCUGGUUUGGGAGGGUUACUGACAAACUGCAUCCAUGCUUUUACUUUCCUGCCCUGUCUCCUCAGUGUCGGCUUUUGGCUCCUCUGGUCCCACAUCCUGCGGGGCUGCAGUUCAUACCGAGGAGCGCGAGCAUCAAAGAGGAGAUGGUGAAUAAGAAACCGCUUUAUGACAUGUCUUCAAAGUGCCUUUUUAAAAGUUCAAAGGACAAGAGGGAAGGAGGGAAUAAAAAUCAAAGGAAGAUCUGGGGGAGAGAAAUUAAAGCCUCAGAGGAACUUUAUGGCGUGUUCUAUGUAACACUUUCAGUGCCGAAAUCAGGGCUGCUCCUGGCAGUGGUGUCAGCACCCAGCAGUGCCUGCAGACCUCCUGCUCUGCUCCAAAGCACCUGCAGCUGUGCGCUCCUAAAUGAACUUCAUUCCAGAUCCACGCUUCCCAUUCUCUUGCCUCCAGGCCAAGGGGAGGAUGCUGGCUCUGCACUGCCUGGGAGGGCUGGGGUCUGAGCUAAAUCACAGCUCCGAUCUGCUGUCAUCUCCACAGGUUGGAGAUGCCCAUCUCUGAGAGCCCACAGCUCCCGGACCAGGAGAUGAUUUGCCAUCCUUGGAAGCCUUCUGGACUGUGGAGUUCUUCCAAGAAUUUUUCAAUUUCCACAGAUGAAAAUAUAGUCUAAACCAGAUGCCAGCUGAAACGCACUCACUUCGUACCACCUCGCCAAGGCAGCGCGCCACGGGCUCAGCAAUGUGACCUUUAAAAUGGCCUUUCUAGAACACACUGCUAAGAGCACUUUCUAAAAAGCCACAAUUGCAGCUACUCUUAUUACUCAUAAUGUCUUUGAUGGAGAGGAAUACUCAGGGAACUUCAGCUUCAGCAACCCGGUAGAGUCAGUUCUGUGCAGCGGAGGCUUCCUUCGUGGCAUUACAGACUUGAGACCACGAUGAGAGCGUUGGUGAUAAUGAACAUUUCCUAAAGCAUUACUUGUAUAAGAUUAAAAUGAAAUAAAAGCAGUGAAACCUUUGCUUUGCCCAUGUGAAAGAAUGGCUCUGCCACUUAGCCAUUCGUUCCUAGAAGUGGAUAUGUAUACCUGUGCCUUCUCCAUGUAUUUGUAAGUCUAACAAAUAUUAUACACACAAAUAUACACCAAUGUUAUGCAAAAUGCAUUCAGGCAAUGUAUUUCAAAUCAAUGAAUAUUUUGAGUCAUCAGCCUAAAUGGUGUUUGUAGAUGCAUAAUUGCAUGCUACUUUCUGGGAUUUUUUGUAGUAUUCUGAGUGGCGCUGAGCCGCCACUUCAUUAAAACUGUCCCUUGGGAUCCAAUUCUUUGGGUUUGUUUUUGCAUGUGCCAGGAAAUUUGGACCCUGAUUUCUGUAUGGCCACCACUGCCAUGCUGGUGCACUGCCGGCCGGCGGCACUGUGUGGCACUGCAUGGCCCUGGUGGGCACAGGGAGCAGAAUAACAUGAGAUCCAGUUUGCUUUGGUCAGUCUGGGAGAGACUUCACAGCAGCAGUGAUGGGACACUUUAGAGUUGGCUGAGUGGAGUUUUCCUAUCAUUUCUGAACCUUCUGUCCUUAAACUGAUUCAACUAAAUAUGUGACAUUUUGAGGAAAACUUGCCCUGUGUCUUUAGCUUCUUUCAUACCAGACAGGGUGGGAACAAGAUAAGUUUGCUUAAAAGCCUUUGUUUUCACUCACUUCUCUACUU
rnacentral:lncRNA from 1 species